rnacentral:rRNA from 1 species
UACGGGGGGAGCAAGCGUUGUUCGGAUUUACUGGGCGUAAAGGGCGCGUAGGCGGCCACCGCAAGUCGACUGUGAAAUCUCCGGGCUUAACCCGGAAAGGUCAACUGAUACUGCGGGGCUAGAGUGCAGAAGGGGCAACUGGAAUUCUCGGUGUAGCGGUGAAAUGCGUAGAUAUCUGGAGGAACACCGGUGGCGAAGGCGGCAUCCUGGACCGGCAUUGACGCUGAGGCGCGAAAGCUAGGGGAGCAAACGGG